AUUGAACGCUGGCGGAAUGCUUACACAUGCAAGUCGAACGGUAGAGGGGGCAACCCCUCGAGAGUGGCGAACGGGUGAGUAAUAUAUCGGAACGUGCCCAGUCGUGGGGGAUAACGUAGCGAAAGUUACGCUAAUACCGCAUACGAUCUAAGGAUGAAAGCGGGGGAUCGCAAGACCUCGCGCGAUUGGAGCGGCCGAUAUCAGAUUAGGUAGUUGGUGGGGUAAAGGCUCACCAAGCCAACGAUCUGUAGCUGGUCUGAGAGGACGACCAGCCACACUGGAACUGAGGCACGGUCCAGACUCCAACGGGAGGCAGCAGGGGGGAAUUUUGGACAAUGGACGCAAGUCUGAUCCAGCCAUUCCGCGUGCAGGAUGAAGGCCCUCGGGUUGUAAACUGCUUUUGUACGGAACGAAAAGGUCUCUCUUAAUACGGGGGGCUCAUGACGGUACCGUAAGAAUAAGCACCGGCUAACUACGUGCCAGCCGCCGCCGUAA
rnacentral:rRNA from 1 species